rnacentral:rRNA from 1 species
UACGAAGGGGGCUAGCGUUGCUCGGAAUCACUGGGCGUAAAGGGUGCGUAGGCGGGUCUUUAAGUCAGAGGUGAAAUCCUGGAGCUCAACUCCAGAACUGCCUUUGAUACUGAGGAUCUUGAGUUCGGGAGAGGUGAGUGGAACUGCGAGUGUAGAGGUGAAAUUCGUAGAUAUUCGGCGGAACACCAGUGGCGAAGGCGACUCACUGGCCCGAUACUGACGCUGAUGCGCGAAAGCGUGGGGAGCAAACAGG